CAAAGAUGUGGACUACAUCAUUGCGGAUCGCGUGGUUUCGAGAAGGGGCGAGCCAGCACAUAACGAGUACUUGGUAAAGUGGAAAAACCUUCCCGAGAGCGAAUCCACAUGGAACAAGAAGCAGAUUUGUGGCAAUCCGCUGAGCACAUCCAGAAUUUCAAGCACGAGAGCGCGACGAGGACGCCGCGAGCUUGGGUGGGGGAGGAUGUCACGGGCCGCCCAAUUUGAUAGCUCAAUCGCCCACAAUCUUGGGCUAGUGAGCCAACACAAGGCCAAGAGUCCUAGCUUGGCCCAAUUCCGGAAAGUUCUAGA
rnacentral:lncRNA from 1 species